rnacentral:rRNA from 1 species
UAGGUGGCGAGCGUUGUCCGGAAUUACUGGGUGUAAAGGGAGCGUAGGCGGGAGAGCAAGUCGACUGUGAAAGCUAUGGGCUUAACCCAUAGAUGCGAUCGAAACUGUUCAUCUUGAGUGAAGUAGAGGCAGGCGGAAUUCCUAGUGUAGCGGUGAAAUGCGUAAAUAUUAGGAGGAACACCAGUGGCGAAGGCGGCCUGCUGGGCUUUAACUGACGCUGAGGCUCGAAAGCGUGGGUAGCAAA